rfam:Bacteroides reticulotermitis JCM 10512 DNA, contig: contig00008.
AGCGGAGUAGAGCAGAGGUAGCUCGUUAGGUUCAUAACCUAAAGGUCGAAGGUUCGAUCCCUUCUUCCGCAA